UACGUAGGGGGCGAGCGUUGUCCGAAGUUACUGGGCGUAAAGCGCGCGUAGGCGGGGGUGCAAGUCCGCUGUGAAAGCCCGAGGCUCAACCUCGGAGGGUCGGUGGAUACUGCACUUCUUGAAGCGGCUAGGGGGAGAUGGAAUUACCGGUGUAGCGGUGAAAUGCGUAGAGAUCGGUAGGAACACCAGUGGCGAAGGCGGUCUCCUGGAGCUGGCUUGACGCUGAGGCGCGAAAGCUGGGGGGAGCGAACGGG
rnacentral:rRNA from 1 species